rnacentral:rRNA from 1 species
CCUACGGGAGGCAGCAGUAGGGAAUCUUUCACAAUGGGCGAAAGCCUGAUGGAGCAACGCCGCGUGCAGGAUGAAGGCCUUCGGGUUGUAAACUGCUUUUAUAAGCGAGAAAGAUGAUGGUAACUUAUGAAUAAGGAGCGGCUAACUACGUGCCAGCAGCCGCGGUCAUACGUAGGAUCCGAGCAUUAUCCGGAGUGACUGGGUGUAAAGAGUUGCGUAGGUGGAAUAAUAAGUAGCUAGUGAAAUCUGGUGGCUCAACCAUUCAGACUAUUAGCUAAACUGUUAAGCUCGAGACCGUUAGGGGUAACUGGAAUUUCUAGUGUAGGAGUGAAAUCCGUAGAUAUUAGAAGGAACACCAAUCGCGUAGGCAGGUUGCUGGGACGGUUCUGACACUCAGGCACGAAAGCGUAGGGAGCAAACGGGAUUAGAUACCCCAGUAGUC